rnacentral:rRNA from 1 species
UGGCUCAGAGUGAACGCUGGCGGCAGGCCUAACACAUGCAAGUCGAACGGCAGCACAGCAGAGCUUGCUCUGUGGGUGGCGAGUGGCGGACGGGUGAGGAAUACGUCGGAAUCUGCCUUUUUGUGGGGGAUAACGUAGGGAAACUUACGCUAAUACCGCAUACGACCUACGGGUGAAAGCGGAGGACCUUCGGGCUUCGCGCAGAAAGAUGAGCCGACGUCGGAUUAGCUAGUUGGAGGGGUAAUGGCCCACCAAGGCGACGAUCCGUAGCUGGUCUGAGAGGAUGAUCAGCCACACUGGGACUGAGACACGGCCCAGACUCCUACGGGAGGCAGCAGUGGGGAAUAUUGGACAAUGGGCGCAAGCCUGAUCCAGCCAUGCCGCGUGUGUGAAGAAGGCCUUCGGGUUGUAAAGCACUUUUGUACGGGAAGAAAAGCAAUCGGUUAAUACCCGGUUGUCAUGACGGUACCGUAAGAAUAAGCACCGGCUAACUUCGUGCCAGCA